rfam:Mesocricetus auratus contig086758, whole genome shotgun sequence.
AACUUUAGGCAGUGUCAAUAUUGUAGCCAGUAAGGUUUAUCUAAGGUGUGAUGAUUGCUAAUUGAAAACUUAUGGAUCAAUUUUUAAAAGUAUCUCAUAAAUAUUUUUAUAGAAUUGUAGAUGUUAGAAGUAAA